rnacentral:pre_miRNA from 1 species
CCACGAGCCUCACGACCACGGCUGUCACAAUCUAUGAAUGGCUUUGUUCGUUCGGCUCGCGUGA